CCUUGCAUAAGUGUCCAUGCCAUCGGGAUCCGCUGCUUUUUCCCCAAAUGCUUUUCAGCGGGAAGGAAUUGUGAACCCCCUCCCGUCUUCGUUAUUCUGCCAUAAGACGACGCCACUCUUUAUCUUUGCCCCCAAAAAUUGCAGUGGGAAGGUGCCGCUGUUAUGGUUCUCCGUAUCAUCUGCAACGGAGGGAAGAGACGCAAAAUGCUGCAGUGAAGCACAAGUUGGGGGAGCCUGAUCGCAAAACAAAGGGACCCGUUUCAUUCCACGAAAACAAAAUAGAACAAUGAUAGAAAAUUAUAACAAUAAAAAAAUAAAUAAAAGGAAUUAUUUCUGCACGCCAGCUACAGCGUUAAUACGCCGCCUUCCACCGCGGCUCUCUCUCCGCCUCCCCUACCAGCCGCUGACGGAGAGAAAAUAAGACCGAUCGCCAAGGGGCUCCAAAAAAAAAAAAAAAAAAAAAAAAAAAAA